rnacentral:rRNA from 1 species
UGCGUAGGCGGACUAAUAAGUCAGUGGUGAAAUCUUUCGGCUCAACCGAGAAACUGCCAUUGAUACUGUUAGUCUUGAGUUCGGUUGAGGUAGGCGGAAUGUGUAAUGUAGCGGUGAAAUGCUUAGAUAUUACACAGAACACCGAUUGCGUAGGCAGCUUACUAGACCGACACUGACGCUGAGGCACGAAAGCGUGGGGAGCGAACAGGAUUAGAUACCCUGGUAGUCC